AUGCAGUCGACGGGCUAGCAAUAGUCAGUGGCGCACGGGUGCGUAACACGUAGGUAAUCAACCCCUUGGUUCGGGAUAACGUUCUGAAAGGAGCGCUAAUACCGGACGCGUCUUCGGGAGCUUCGGCUCCUGUCGAGAAAGACCCGCAAGGGUUGCCGAGGGACGAGCCUGCGGCCCAUCAGCUAGUUGGCGAGGUAAUAGCUCACCAAGGCGAAGACGGGUAGCUGGUCUGAGAGGAUGAUCAGUCACACUGGAACUGAGACACGGUCCAGACUCCUACGGGAGGCAGCAGUGGGGAAUAUUGCGCAAUGGGCGAAAGCCUGACGCAGCCACGCCGCGUGAGCGAUGAAGGCCUUCGGGUCGUAAAGCUCUGUGGGGAGAGACGAAGAAAGCCUGUGAAGAGCAGGCCUUGACGGUAUCUCCUUAGCAAGCACCGGCUAACUCCGUGCCAGCAGCCGCGGUAAUACGGAGGGUGCGAACGUUGCUCGGAAUCAUUGGGCGUAAAGCGCACGUAGGCGGCGGCGUAAGCGGGAUGUGAAAGCCCAGGGCUCAACCCUGGAAGUGCAUCCCGAACUGUGUCGCUUGAAUCUCGGAGGGGGACAGAGAAUUCCCGGUGUAGAGGUGAAAUUCGU
rnacentral:rRNA from 1 species